rnacentral:rRNA from 1 species
UACGGGGGGGGCAAGCGUUGUUCGGAAUUACUGGGCGUAAAGGGCUCGUAGGCGGCCAACUAAGUCAGACGUGAAAUCCCUCGGCUUAACCGGGGAACGGCGUCUGAUACUGGAUGGCUUGAAUCCGGGAGAGGGAUGCGGAAUUCCAGGUGUAGCGGUGAAAUGCGUAGAGAUCAUGAGGAAGACCAGUGGCGAAGGCGGGUCUCUGGACAGUUCCUGACACUGAGGCACGAAGGCCAGGGGAGCAAACGGG